UAGAGUUGAUUACACAUAAUGUACCACGAGUAUCUUCUUACUGAUCUAUCCAUACAAUGUAUGGCUGGAAGUUCAACAGUAACCCAAUUACCCAACUUGUACAAAUAUUAGACACAAACUCUGCAAAUCGUUUUUGGAAGAUGAGUCGUACGGAGCAUACAAGAUCUGUGGCAGAAAUGUUGGAGCAGAGUACAGGAGAACAAGCUGAAGAACUCAGACGCUCUAAGCAAAAGCGCCGCCGAGCUGCACGAUUCAGUGGCCCAAAGUGGACUGCUUGAUCUGAUGGUUGGCUCUGUAUCGUCUAGCGCAAGUCGGUGCGUCGUCGACAGCUGUCCCGGCCCUUGAGCGAGAGUUGUUUGCUUUGCCGUUGUUUUUUGCCAUUGGAAAAGUUUGUGACCUGUAACUCUGCUCUUCACCUCUUCCCCUGAAACUCUGAAUCUGGUGCCCUCUUUCUUCUGUGAAUUCUACUCUCUGUCUCUUCAUCUCUGUAUCCUGUGAACAGAGAAAUACCAAUCAGUUGGGCGCGUAUGCUGGAUCAUAACACAUGGCGAAUGUUAAACAACAUAAAAGUAAAAAUAAAAUUAGAAGAAUCUAAAUUUGCACAUAUUAGUAUAUCUUUUGUUUGUAGGCACAAAGGAGAUUUUUUGCGUACUCGAUAAAAGAACAAACUUGAGUGUUCUAAAGAAGGAUUUUUUUAGCAAUAUUACUUCUGUUUCCUUGUGCUAUCCGAUAGUUGCUUUGCCUGAAGAUUCUAACUCGUUUCUAUCACUUACAGGUUCUUCAUUGUAAUCGAUGACAUGCGGGAAGACUUUUGGGUCGAUAUAAAAGAUGCUUUCCCUGUUAUUCCUGGGGUCGACAGUAGAGUGCUCGUC
rnacentral:lncRNA from 1 species